UACGGGGGGGGGGCAAGCGUUGUUCGGAAUUACUGGGCGUAAAGGGUUCGUAGGUGGCCUACUAAGUCAGACGUGAAAUCCCUCAGCUUAACUGGGGAACUGCGUCUGAUACUGGUAGGCUUGAGUGCAGGAGAGGAACGCGGAAUUCCAGGUGUAGCGGUGAAAAUGCGUAGAUAUCUGGAGGAACACCGGUGGCGAAGGCGGCGUUCUGGACUGCAACUGACACUGAGGAACGAAAGCCAGGGGAGCAAACGGG
rnacentral:rRNA from 1 species